rnacentral:rRNA from 1 species
AACGAACGCUGGCGGCAGGCCUAACACAUGCAAGUCGAACGCUGUAGCAAUACAGAGUGGCAGACGGGUGAGUAACACGUGGGAAUCUUCCUAUCGGUACGGAAUAGCUCAGGGAAACUUGAGGUAAUACCGCAUACGCCCUUCGGGGGAAAGAUUUAUCGCCGAUAGAUGAGCCCGCGUCUGAUUAGCUAGUUGGUGAGGUAAUGGCUCACCAAGGCGACGAUCAGUAGCUGGUCUGAGAGGAUGACCAGCCACACUGGGACUGAGACACGGCCAAGCCUCCUGCGGGAGGCAGCAGGGGGGAAUAUUGGAAAAUGGGCGCAAGCUUGAUCCAGCCGUGCCGCGUGAGUGACGAAGGUCUUCGGAUUGUAAAGCUCUUUUGCCAGGACAGAAAAUGACGGUACCUGAAGAAUAACCCCCGGCUAAUUUCGUGCCAGCCCCCCCCGUAA